UUAUGAUGAUUCGAUCAUUUUUAGUUAUUUCUCGUCUCUGAAUCCACAAGAUAAUGAACGAGUUAUAUGAUUUUGACUGAAGUAGAUUAUACUGCAACAUUCCUGCCUUGUACCUUGACAACUUUUUCUUAAUUAUGUGUUUAUAUCUGUUAACAUUGCAGCUCCUCCUCGGACCUCUGGAAUGAAAACCGCAGCGGUGUUGAUUUACAAAACUUCAAAAAGAUUGUUACGCCACAUUUUCUUCAAUGAAUGGUUCCAACACCGGUCUGAUCAAGUUCUUCACCAUGACAAGAGUAACAAUCCACAGCGUGAUACGGAAGCCUCAACUUGACAACUUUUAUGAUGCUGGAUGAACCCCCGAGGAAGAAGCUUGUGCUGAAAGUCAACGGGUCGAAUCAAAAGUGAACGUUUGAUUCGUCCAACUUCAAUGUUGUCAAGAAAUCGACUACGCAUUCGAAAAAGUUUCGGAACCCCUGAUGCGAUUUUGAGCUCUAUUCUUCAGUAAUUAGUGCUUUUGAUCGACACCGACUACUCAUUCGAAAAAGUUUCGGAACCCCUGAUGUGAUGCCAAGCUCAAUCUCCAGUAAUGCAUUGCGAUGCAUCGUAUGGAUGGAUGAUCAAUCUUACGGAUCAUGUUUAAUAUGAAACAAACACUGGAUUCCGGCCGACGAACCAAUAUUGACCAACUGGUGAGUUUUAUCGGCGUUUUUUUGCGAUUCUUCAUGAUUCCAGAUUGUCAUUUCUGAUCGUUUAUUUAAUUAUUCGAUUUAAAUCCAAAUAAAGUGGUUUAACAAUA